GAUGAACGCUAGCUACAGGCUUAACACAUGCAAGUCGAGGGACCGGCGCACGGGUGAGUAACACGUAUCCAACCUGCCCUUUACUCGGGGAUAGCCUUUCGAAAGAAAGAUUAAUACAAGAUAUAAAGGAUGGGGAUGCGUGCCAUUAGGUUGUUGGUGAGGUAACGGCUCACCAAGCCUUCGAUGGUUAGGGGUUCUGAGAAGAAGGCCCACUACAUGGGAACUGAGGCACGGUCCACACUCCUACGGGAGAGAGCGGUAAGUGAUAUUAGUCAAUGGGCGCUAGCCUGAACCAGCCAAGUGGCGUGAAGGAUGACGGCUUAUGGGUCGUAAACUUCUUUUAUAUAAGAAUAGGUAUUAAAUGAAUAAGGAUCGGCUAACUCCGUGCCAGCAGCCGCGGUAAUUC
rnacentral:rRNA from 1 species